rnacentral:lncRNA from 1 species
AUGAGGUGUGAGGCACGAGAGACGAGGAGGUUGCGCUGCCGGAACGAGGCGCAACAAGGACACAAGAUCUUGAGAGCCGUGGAGCUGCUGUGUGUUUCCCGGUCAACGCGGGCUUUGAUCGGAACUGAUCCUGGACCACAGUCGGAGCUCAGUCGAGGAGGAAAACAUGACAAGCUGGGGGAGACGAGAGAUGGAGCUGUAAACGUUGAGACCACAUGUAAGAAAACAGUACAGAAUUAUUAAAUCUAUUAUAAAAAAAAAAUACUGCUUCACACAUCUUGUACUGCUGCAUUUCG